rnacentral:rRNA from 1 species
GGCAACGGCCAUACCACGUUGAAAACACCGGUUCUCGUCUGAUCACCGAAGUUAAGCAACGUUGGUUUGGUUAGUACUUGGAUGGGUGACCGCCUGGGAAUACCAAAAUGCUGUUGUCU